rnacentral:sRNA from 1 species
GCUGGGUGUGGUGGCGCACUCCUGUGAUCCCAGCGGCUUGGGAGGCUGAGGCAGGAGGAUCAGGAGUUCACAACUCAGGGAGACUCUGUCUCUA